ACCAAGCUGAUUCUGCUGGUUCUCGAGGACUAGAAUUGCACAGCCAAUCCGUGGACGGAAGAAAGUAGGAAAGCAUGCAAAGCCAUUAGCCAAUCUGAAAUGCGUGCUUGCAGCAGACUUCCGAAAGCUUCUAGCCAGCCAACAACGAUUCUACCUGAGGCCAAAAAUGGCACAGAUCGUUCGAUACUCUUUGAAUCUGGGUAGCUGUCAAACUCAGUGCAGGAGUUGACCAACUGCAUGCUUCUUUUUCCUCCAUUUGGGAGCUCCAUCUUAUCUCCACACUGUAGAGAGAUGCACGCACCCUCACCCCAUGUCGAACACCAUUAAUCUCUGAAACCACACACUGCUGAGAAGCUCUCCCUGUCAGGUAAAAUGAAACGAAACACCACCACCCCUGCAUCCGAUGCUUGAUCAUUUCUUCUCAGAUGCGGUACGACAAGAGUUGAUUUAUCAUCUCUAACAUGUGUGGUUUGUACUAAUGCCAAGUUUGGGAUUGCAUGAUCUCGAUAAAAGAAAGAUAAAAGAGGACAAGCACAUAUUCUAAUCUGCGUCGUGAAGGGGAUCGGAAUAGAAUACGGUCCUCGUCAUGCUGGUAUGUACUCAAUUAUCUUUGUGGAGGUACAGCACACAUGCAUCCACCAUAUGCAGGUCUGGACAAGAAGGAAAUCCACCGAGUUGGAUCUCACCAUGAGACAGAUCGGCAGCGGUAACACUGCUUUUACUACGUGGUUCGUACUUGCACCAUUGCUGAUCUUGAUGGACGGAGAUCCUGAACUAGAUCGACGGACCAUGGCCCACACGUGAUGCAUAAUGGCCGGCCCAUUGGCUUAUUGAUCCGACUCGGUUUCUGCGGAUCCCAAGUCGAGAUACUUUCCCGCGCUCGCUCGUCAGGGUUAAAGAAGCGGAAGAGCCGUCGUUUGUUUGGUCGCGUCUCGCGGGGAGAGUGGGGAGGAGGUGGAGGGAUCGAUGGUACACCAGAUGGUUUCCGAUCCGAAGGAUGGCGUCGAUCGGAUCUUCGCCGGCUUCAAGUGCGGGAUCUCCGCUCCUGAAUCCGCGAUCAAGAAAGUCUGCGCUCGGAGAGAUCCAAGAAAGCAGGCUUGGUGAGAGGGGAAGCGUCUGUGGUUGCUGGAGUUGCUACGCCGAGCUUGUCGGAACAAUGUGGGCUGGAUUCGGCAGGGAAAGAGAAGGGAAGAUGGACUGUACAUCUUUUCGCCAAGGGAAAAUGUCAAGCUUCUUGAUCAUGUGUAUGCAACACGUAUGUGCACACUACAUUGUUUAUAGAGUUUCUUGUGCAGUCCGAAGCUUAUCUUGAUCAAAAUGUCAAUUUUCUUGAUCAAGAUGUGUUCAUCUUGAUGUGUAUGCAAACGUGAUCAUGGAUUCUGUCGAGUGUUUCCAGUUCAAAAAAAUGUCAAUGCCCUUAAUCAAGAUGUCUUUAUCUUGAUCAGGUUGAUCGACCUUAAGGAUAAGUUUUUUAGCGUUUAAGAAUUAGGAUAGCUUGUGAUGGUCUAAAUAAAUACGAAGAGAAAUUUUUGGUUUGGCUACUCUGUGUUUGUCCAUAAUCCAUGUAGAUUAUGAAUUGACAUGGGGUGGUAAUAUUUGCUAUCGCUGUUCGACCUUGGCUAACAUGCAUGGGAUGCAUGCCUACACUUAUUUUAGCACCUGGGAAUGGGAUAUUCACUCUCAGCUUCAUAUUUAGAUUGCCUACUUAAAGUAAUUGUUUUUCCAUGUCCAGUCAUUGGUGAUUUGGUGACUGAGUUGGUUUGAUGA